rnacentral:tRNA from 1 species
AAGACACUAGUAUACCCGACCAUUACACCGCCUUGUCAAGGCAGAGAAGCGGGUUAAAACCCCGCGUGUCUUA